rnacentral:rRNA from 1 species
CCCUUUGGGUGUGACUGCGUACCUUUUGUAUAAUGGGUCAGCGACUUAUAUUCUGUAGCAAGGUUAACCGAAUAGGGGAGCCGGAGGGAAACCGAGUCUUAAUUGGGCGUUAAGUUGCAGGGUAUAGACCCGAAACCCGGUGAUCUAGCCAUGGGCAGGUUGAAGGUUGGGUAACACUAACUGGAGGACCGAACCGACUAAUGUUGAAAAAUUAGCGGAUGACCUGUGGCUGGGGGUGAAAGGCCAAUCAAACCGGGAGAUAGCUGGUUCUCCCCGAAAGCUAUUUAGGUAGCGCCUCGUGAAUUCAUCUCCGGGGGUAGAGCACUGUUUCGGCUAGGGGGCCAUCCCGGCUUACCAACCCGAUGCAAACUGCGAAUACCGGAGAAUGUUAUCACGGGAGACACACGGCGGGUGCUAACGUCCGUCGUGAAGAGGGAAACAACCCAGACCGCCAGCUAAGGUCCCAAAGUCAUGGUUAAGUGGGAAACGAUGUGGGAAGGCCCAGACAGCCAGGAUGUUGGCUUAGAAGCAGCCAUCAUUUAAAGAAAGCGUAAUAGCUCACUGGUCGAGUCGGCCUGCGCGGAAGAUGUAACGGGGCUAAACCAUGCACCGAAGCUGCGGCAGCGACGCUUAUGCGUUGUUGGGUAGGGGAGCGUUCUGUAAGCCUG